CAGGUUGGUGCAACCAUACUCACCUUGAACCAUUGGUCCAAGGUUCAAGCCCUAGGGACCUAAACUGUGUAGAUAUAAAUGUUGAUUGUUUUCUGUUAGACUAAAAUACCUUGGUGGGUUGGGUCGGUUAGGAGCCAUUUCGUCCGGUUCGGUUGACUACUGGCUAUGGUGGGUUGGGUCGUGAAUGGAUGUGUGACCCAUUGGUAAUUAAAGCCUGUUUUGGGUUGGCCUGUUUCGGCCUAAAAACCCAGAUUCUUAGUUGACCUUGAACCAAGGUCCGGUAGACG
rnacentral:lncRNA from 1 species